UUCUCACCAUCCACAUACACCUGUGCACUGUUUAGCCUGAGCCGGUUUUCCGGUCCAGGUUAUCAUUUCAUACAAACUCUAGUCUUAUGAAUGUAAACGUUUUAAUAACAUAAUAAAACUUUCAACAACGGAUCUCUUGGUUCUCGCAUCGAUGAAAAACGCAGCGAAAUGCGAUAAGUAAUGUGAAUUGCAGAAUUCAGUGAAUCAUCGAAUCUUUGAACGCACCUUGCGCUCCUUGGUAUUCCGAGGAGCAUGCCUGUUUGAGUGUCAUGAAACUCUCACCCUCUAGCUUUCUUAAUCGUGGCUAGCGGCGUGGACGUGAGCGCUGCUGCUUUGUUGCGGCUCGCUCGAAAUGCAUUAGCAGACCCUUUUCGUAAUCGGUUCCACUCAACGUGAUAAGUAUUUCGUUGAGGACAGUUGCAGCAAUGCGGCUGGCCGGGAUAAGAAAGGCAUAGUUGUCAGCUUCUAAUCGCCCUUGGGCAAUU
rnacentral:sRNA from 1 species